rnacentral:rRNA from 1 species
GAGUUUGAUCGUGGCUCAGAGCGAACGCUGGCGGCAGGUCUAAUACAUGCAAGUCGAACGCCCCUUCGGGGGAGUGGCGGACGGGUGAGUAACGCGUGGGAACGUGCCCUUUGGUUCGGAACAACACAGGGAAACUUGUGCUAAUACCGAAUGUGCCCUUCGGGGGAAAGGAUUUAUCGCCAUUGGAGCGGCCCGCGUUGGAUUAGCUAGUUGGUGGGGUAAAGGCCCACCAAGGCGACGAUCCAUAGCUGGUCUGAGAGGAUGAUCAGCCACACUGGGACUGAGACACGGCCCAGACUCCUACGGGAGGCAGCAGUAGGGAAUCUUGCGCAAUGGGCGAAAGCCUGACGCAGCCAUGCCGCGUGAAUGAUGAAGGUCUUAGGAUUGUAAAAUUCUUUCACCGGGGAAGAUAAUGACGGUACCCGGAGAAGAAGCCCCGGCUAACUUCGUGCCAGCAGCAGCCGC